ACCCUCUCAGGGUCACACCUGGAGAGUUUCUAGUACUCUACCAGUCUCAGCUACCGGAGGAAGAGUCAAGCGGAGGCCUACCCAUUCCAUUUCUAGCUUGGGCAGUGGCUAGCGAGCGGGAGGCAAUCUGCUACAAGU